CCAUUGCUAAGAACUUGCAUGGACCGUCAUAAGCGUGCACCAAUUAAGUACCAUGUACUGUAAUGUAUUAGGUGAGACUAGCUGUACAAUUCUGCAUAAACACGUAGUAGAAGACACAGGGGUGGUAAGAUGGUCAGGUCAGUUAGAAAUAGACUACUCCUUACCUAGGGUCUAUGUUUGCUAUGAAGCAGAACAUUAGCAUUGUUUACUUAUUUAUUGCAGGACCUAUAGUCAUCACAACAGUCACCAAUAUUACUGCAGAUCGCAUAUCGUUCAGCCAUACUGUAUUAUCAAUUCUUGAAAUUGUUAGGAUUUUGUUUGUCUCCAGGAAGAGAGAUAUAGUUGCAUGCAAGGCAUAGUUUCUGUAAAAAACAACAACAAAUGGAUUAACAACAGAGUCUUUGGCCAAACAGUGCAGCAGCAGAGAACCAGGUUGGCCUGUUGUUUUGGGUGGAAAGAGACAGGGACAAGAACUUGAUUUAUUAGGUCCGUUUCCUUCUGACUCAGGCUGCUUCCAACACCCCCCUCCUGCUACACCUAAUGCAGCACAGCACCUGAGGACCAGAGAAAGGAGCCAGGGGACAAUCAACGGAGGGCUGUGGAGGAGGAAGAGGAAGAUAGGGAUACAGGAACUGCAGAACACAUUCCUACUGAGAGCUGUUCCUCCUCGCUUCAGCCUUUUUCUACCCUGGUUGCCAAGACCACUGUUACACCACAACGGCACUCCAGAAAUUUCUCACAGUGACUGUUUGAUUUCAGUGUCAUGGUCGACAUUUCGCUGAAGAUGGAAGGAGUUAAAGCAACCAAAUUCUUAGAGUCACACCUCGUAGUGGCGAUUAGCAACUGGCUGCACUGAGAGGGAGUUCUCCGAAACAUCGCCUUAACUGCAUUCAAACCUGUCCGGCAGGUAGCUGCUGUCUUUAUAAACACA